rnacentral:rRNA from 1 species
UACGUAGGGGGCAAGCGUUAUCCGGAUUUACUGGGUGUAAAGGGGGCGCAGACGGCAGCGCAAGCCAGGAGUGAAAGCCCGGGGCCCAACCCCGGGACUGCUCUUGGAACUGCGCGGCUGGAGUGCAGGAGGGGCAGGCGGAAUUCCUGGUGUAGCGGUGAAAUGCGUAGAUAUCAGGAGGAACACCGGUGGCGAAAGCGGCUCUCUGGCCUGUAACUGACACUGAGGCUCGAAAGCGUGGGGAGCAAACAGG